GAUGAACGCUGGCGGCGUGCCUAACACAUGCAAGUCGAACGGAGUUGUGCAUCGGAAGUUUUCGGAUGGAAGAAGCAGAACUUAGUGGCGGACGGGGGAGUAACGCGUGGGCAACCUGCCGUAUACAGGGGGAUAACAGUUGGAAACAACUGCUAAUACCGCAUAAGCGCACACUGUCGCAUGACAGAGUGUGAAAAUUUCCGGAGGUAUACGAUGGACCCGCGUCUGAUUAGCCAGUUGGCAGGGUAACGGCCUACCAAAGCAACGAUCAGUAGCCGGCCUGAGAGGGUGGACGGCCACAUUGGGACUGAGACACGGCCCAA
rnacentral:rRNA from 1 species